AAAGUACUCCCUCCGUCCCAAAAUUCUUGUCUUAGAUUUGUCUAGAUACGGAUGUAUCAAGUCACAUUUUAGUAUUAGAUACAUCCUUAUCUAGACAAAUCUAAGACAAGAAAUUUGGGAGGAGUAGUUG
rfam:Triticum aestivum genome assembly, contig: Triticum_aestivum_CS42_TGACv1_scaffold_200141_3AL